rnacentral:rRNA from 1 species
AUUGAACGCUGGCGGCAGGCCUAACACAUGCAAGUCGGACGGUAGCACAGAGGAGCUUGCUCCUCGGGUGACGAGUGGCGGACGGGUGAGUAAUGUCUGGGGAUCUGCCCGAUAGAGGGGGAUAACCACUGGAAACGGUGGCUAAUACCGCAUAACGUCGCAAGACCAAAGAGGGGGACCUUCGGGCCUCUCACUAUCGGAUGAACCCAGAUGGGAUUAGCUAGUAGGCGGGGUAAUGGCCCACCUAGGCGACGGUCCCUAGCUGGUCUGAGAGGAUGACCAGCCACACUGGAACUGAGACACGGUCCAGACUCCUACGGGAGGCAGCAGUGGGGAAUAUUGCACAAUGGGCGCAAGCCUGAUGCAGCCAUGCCGCGUGUAUGAAGAAGGCCUUCGGGUUGUAAAGUACUUUCAGCGGGGAGGAAGGCGGUGCGGUUAAUAACUGCGCCGAUUGACGUUACCCGCAGAAGAAGCACCGGCUAACUCCGUGCCAGCCGCCGCAGUAA